CCGAAAGAUCAGAGGCGCUCUUUUUAGAGGUCUCGUCCCACAUCUUUCAAACACCUGUGCACUCGGAGUUGACCCGAUUUUCGGGUCCUUGCUCGAGACUUCGCGUUCCCCCUUUUUUAGGGACUGCGUGAGAGUGUCGGGGACUCUGCCCCUUUUACACGCCAUCUGAGGAAUUGAGGAUGUUUACAAAUUCGAAAAUGAAA
rnacentral:misc_RNA from 1 species